AGCUAAUGCUAGUGUAUCAUUCUAAUCGGAACACCUAUGAUAAGAUGAUUUCCAGCAUUUCUAACAAUCAAAUUUCCCAAUUUUAGAAAAAGUGAUCUCUAUUAUUAAAGGCAUUCUACAGUAAUGUUAUACAUUUACAAAAUAUAGAAAACAAAAAUGUACAUCUCAGCCAAUUACAAUAAUACAAAGCAAACAUCCAUGUUACCAUUAACCAGGUCAAGAGCACUGCCAGCACCCCAGAAACAUCCUCAUGCCUCCUCUAAAUCGUGCGUCUCUAAACAUUGUACUUUAGUAUUGCAUAUAUAUGGAACUUUUUACAGAUAAAAAUCUUAGAGUGUAUGUUAUUUUGUUUCUGGUUUCUUUUACCCACAUUAUGGUUGUGAGAUUUAUUCAUGUGAGAAGACGCAUAUAAUACCUUCAUUCUUGUUGCUGUAUAGUGGCCCAUUGUGUGUAUGCACAGAACUUAUUCAGUCUGCUAUUGAUGGACAUUUGGGUUGUUUCCAACUCUUGGGUGUUGUGAAUAAUGCUGCCAUGAACAAAGAUGUAUAGCUGUUUUGGUGCGUUUUGUAUGGCUAGAAACAAAAUCGCUAGAAUACAGAAUAAAUUCAACUUUAGAAGACAUUAUGCUCCGUACUGAAGAUUCCAAUAUUAAUUGCUCAUGACCUCCUCCUUUGAGUAGCAUGGAAUCUAGACAGAGAGACCACUUCAUCAAAAAAAAAAAAUCUCUAACACAAUGGGGCAAAUACAAGGGGAACUCAAAGGGAGGAGGAACGAUCUCAGCUUGAGUAAGAAGAUGCUGUGUCAGAGAAGGCUGUGUUUGAAUGGAGUGUUGAAAGGUGACUGGAGGGUGAGCAGGAGGAAGAAAUGUAAGCAUCGAGGUGCACCUAUCCAGAGAGAAGGUUCAUGCUGAGUCUCAUGAAGGCUUGAAGGCUGUUUGGUUUUGAUAAAGUUGUAAUUUGAAAUCAGUUCAUGCAAAAAUAAAAGAAUAAAACUAUUUCUAUGAAGAA